rnacentral:tRNA from 1 species
UCCAGGGUCGCCUAGUGGACAUGGCACCUGCCCGGUAAGCAGAAGGUUGUGGGUUCGAUUCCCGCCCCUGGAA